CUCUCUGAUUAGCUGGAGAUAUUUUGUACUUUUGAGUAAGGCUAAUUUUUUUUUCUGUAAUCUCUUUUGUGGUUUAAAAGCAGGAGUGAUCUUAAUGGUGAGUUUAAAUUCACUGGAAAUGGCCUUUUGGGACAGCAUUGCAGGAAAAUAUAGGCUAAUUAAAAAGCCAUGGGGUUUGGAAUUUUUUUUAUAUGGACUACAUUUGUUCUGAAGGUUUGUCCUAUAAAUUGAUGCGGAACAUUCUGACAUAUAGUAAGUAUAGAGUUUGUGGAGUACAAUAGGUAACGACCUAGAGACUAUAUCCUCACUGGAGAAUCUCCAACUUAUAAUGUAGUAAGAAUAAACACUUGAACCAGUGGGAGGCAAGUUGAAACUACCUUGUCCGAACCCCCUCUUCUCUUCUCUCCGUUUGAGGGGCAGGGAAGUGAGCCAUCAGAUCAGAGUUAUGUUCUAUGUUGCACACUUUGGAGCCUCAACGUCCUCCUCUGAACAAUGGGAAACAUCAUGGAGUAUCCUGAGUAUUGGAUGGACCAGCGUCUGGCAUAAAAUAAGAACAAUACACCACUUGGGGGAAAUAGAGAAAUACUACUCUGCUCAAGACUUGAAGAGCGACUUAUAAACACACCAAUACCUAAGGUCUCCACCUAGUCUACCACGUGUCUGAAGUGAACCAGGUAACUCCCUCCUACGAAUCAUUCUUGAACACAUGCUAUGUAUCCAGCCUUCGUCUGGGCUCUGAGUAGAUUACUCACCUGAUGAAUUUGUUGUUGUUUAAUAGUACAAAAUUUUCAUAAUGAACUGGUGGGGCAAAAGAAAAGGCCUGUGCAUAUUUUGUCUAGCUAUCCCUGUGUGCAUUUCUUGUUAUUAAAGGAUUACUUCUUCAAUGGACAUUUAAUCAUGAUGUAUAAUUUAAAUGUCUGAACAUUAGGAUAUAAUUUACAGAUUUUUAGUUUAUCAAAUGUCAUCAGAGUCUCUACACUAGAUAUGCCAGAAAGAUGUGGGCAGCUUGUGCAUAAAAUAUUGGGUUUCAUAGCUUACGCAUUGAUCCUUCUGUAUAUCUUGAGGUUCUCUAUGUUGAGAUGUGUGUGCAUGGAGAAUGUAAAUGCC
rnacentral:lncRNA from 1 species